CCCAGCUGUAGACAAUGGCCUAGGUCGCAUUGUACCUAGGCAAGUGUUACACUGCUGGUAGAAAUGCAGCUAAUAGCUGGUGACAGCCUGACCUGGAUAAUGUCAAUUUGUGUUAACCAU
rnacentral:snoRNA from 1 species